rnacentral:rRNA from 1 species
UACAGAGGUGGCAAGCGUUAUCCGGAUUUACUGGGUUUAAAGGGUGCGUAGGUGGGUAGGUAAGUCAGUGGUGAAAUCUUCGAGCUUAACUCGGAAACUGCCAUUGAUACUAUUUAUCUUGAAUACUCUGGAGGUAAGCGGAAUAUGUCAUGUAGCGGUGAAAUGCUUAGAUAUGACAUAGAACACCAAUUGCGAAGGCAGCUUACUACAUAGUUAUUGACACUGAGGCACGAAAGCGUGGGGAUCAAACAGG